rnacentral:tRNA from 1 species
AAGGGUAUAGCUCAGUGGUAGAGCCCAUGCUUAACAUGUGUGAGGUCCUGGGUUCAAUCCCCAGUACUUUCA